ensembl:lncRNA
GAAAGCAGUUGGCCUCUGCAAUUAAAAAGCAGUAACCGUUUCUGUUCAUACUCCAUAGAAUUGUGGUUUACUGAUGCUAUGCCACAUUCUGUGCAACUUCAUUGCUAACAGGGAUCAGGCACCCAGGAGCAUCUCUUUAACAUGGAGGGCUGUAGCCACACUCCAUGGAGAUGAGGGCAAGGAAAAGUUUCAUCUGGACUUUAGGAAAUCCUCUAAGAGAAGGCAGAUCACACAUGUUGUAACCACACUGAAAAUAUUUCCUGAAGAACAGCAGGAGAAGGAGUGGGAGAAAUGCAGGCAAGAACUUACAGUGGGGAAGGAAAGCCUUCAUCCCAAAGUGCAAAAGCUGUGUGCAGCUGAAGUUCAAACGAUGCUGGGUGCACGGAACAGGUUACAUGAAAAGCAACUUGGCUACCAGAAAUAAUUCUAAAUGCUUCAGUGCUGAGGAUGUCUGCCACUGAGAGCAACAGCACCUGGACCUACACACUGGAGCUCAUAGCCUACAGUCCAUGCUACUGGCGACAGAGAGUCAAGGUGAACUGCAGAAAGGCUGCAAGGUUUCUAAGGAUUUUUAUGACAUAGAAUUACAGAAUCCUUAAGUUUGGAAAAAAACACUAAUUUAAUCUAGUCCAACCAUAGGUAGUGAUUCUCUUGUUUAAUUUUCUACUUGUACUUCUCGGUCUAAACUCAGCAAAGAAAAGGAAAAAUUUUGCACUUGAACAUACGUUUAGGCAAUGAUACGCUCUCCUAGAUCAAUGACUACAUAAAUCUGUAUCUUCCUGUCCUGGAAGUAAACAUAGUGUCCUUUCAUUCCCUGCUGAGUUUAGAAACAUUUCUUUGCAUUUGUUAAGGUCCCAUAAAGAACUGUUGUGCCCAGAGGUGAAGGCUGAGGACUGAAAAUUGAGCCCCAGUCGAAGUCCUUUGGCUUUGAUAGAAUGCGAAGUGCAAUGCUGUCUGUAGGAUUCCCAGGCUGAGAGAAUGUGUUUGUAGAUAAAUGUGCUCUGUCUAUGGACUAUGCAGCAGCUACCAAUAAGCAUAGG